UGCAUUGUUAUUCUAUUUAAUAUUUUUAAUAUUGAAUUCAGUGUUUUCCAAUAUGUUCUGUGUUGUUGGAUGCGGAAGAGUAGUUCAAUGCUAUUUACAGAGCGCACACAUCGUUAAAUGAGAUUUAUAAAAAUGAAUUUUCAAAUUCAUAUUUAUUUGACUCUAAUAAAAGGCCCUUACACGGGUUAUUUACCCAUUGCGAUCUCCUUCCGCUAUGGUAUACAUCACGCAUACAUAGAACAUACUCUUCGGCUCCUCGCUUGAAGCAGCACCGGGUUUUGAUGUCUUGAACACAAAGGUUUUGUGGGCAUAUGUUUAGGAAUGUCCUGCUCAUGCUGUGAGACUGUUUCAGUUUCACAUGGCACUCACCCUAUCAGCUGUGCAGGCAUGUGACCGCCAUUGUAGUAUUGGGAAACAAUUGAAAAGUGUAAUUUUCUUCAAAUUUGAAAGAGGACAACGAAUUUCUUUGAUUAGAAGAUUGAUUAGAAGAAUGAGGUGCUUAUGGCAUUCUUAUAUUUCUUGCUUAAUAAAGGAUGGGAAACUGUAUUUAUUUCUAUUACUUUGAAAUGGCUAUAUUAGUCAUAGAUUAUCUAAUUUCCAUGUGAAUAUAUCAAGACUGUGUUUUGGAUCGAAGAAUGAGUUUGCAGAAAAGCUGCUGUAUGAAGCAAAUAAAUAUAAUGUGCCAAGUGUCUCUGAUCAUUUUAAGGUGCUUAAUGAGGUAAUUAUGUGUGAAGAAUUAUAAUGGUUGCUUCACUUGUGUGCUUCAAGGUCCUCUUCCUGAAUGCUUCAAGAUUUUCUUCAUCAUCCUGAAUGCUUCAAGUAGUUUCCAUGGUUGAGCUUGAGGUCCUCGUGAAUCUUUAAUAGGAUUUAUUUUAAUUCAUUAAAAUAACUUCAUAAUUGAAACCAACAUAGUGUUUCCCUUACAUGGAAAGUGUGUCCCAGCCUGUGGAAUGAAGUCUCUUUCCACCUCUCCCAUCUCAGCCAGCAUGAUCCAACCCAUUUUAACAUCAAACACCCUUGAAACUUUUUACACAGGUGGCUGCACAUGCCAACAACCAAAUCAAUAAACGUUUUCAAACAAAUGGAAUACUCAGACACAACAAAAUUGUCAACCAAAUGUCAACCCCAUAAAGAAGUUGAGCUUUGUGGGACAGAGGAGGAGGGAACAAAAUUAGGAGAGAAAAAUAGGAAGAGAGAUAAAUUAGUAUAUUUCUUAUACAUGACAAAAAUAUAUUAAAAAGAAAAGACAUUUUUAACUAAAUUAAUGAAAAAUUUAUUAUAAAUUUAAAAUCUCACUUAUUUUAUAUAAAUCUCAGUACAUAUUUUCUAUUUUAUAAUAAAUUAAUUUUAAAUAAAAAUUUAUCCUAAAUUAAUAUGUUGGGAGUUUUACAUUAUAAACUGAAAUAAGAAUUAUAGGCGGAGGGAUGAAAUUAAUGGCAUUGUAACUUGUAAACUAGUGUACCAAAUAGAACUUUCGUUGUUUUAGGAAAAAAAAAAAUUAAACCCUUCAUAAUUAUUAUGUCAAAUAAGCCAAUUUUUUUAUACUAAUUUCUCUUUCAUUCUCUUACUUAAUUACAUCAAUAAAAAAUAAAUAAUUAAAAAAUAUGAAUUUUAUGCAUUGUUAUUCUAUUUAAUAUUUUUAAUAUUGAAUUCAGUGUUUUCCAAUAUGUUCUGUGUUGUUGGAUGCGGAAGAGUAGUUCAAUGCUAUUUACAGAGCACACACAUCGUUCAAUGAGAUUUAUAAAAAUGAAUUUUCAAUUCAUAUUUAUUUGACUCUAAUAAAAUGCCCUUACACGGGUUAUUUACCCAUUGCGAUCUCCUUCCGCUAUGGUAUAUAUCACGCAUACAUAGAACAUACUCUUCGGCUCCUCGCUUGAAGCAGCACCGGGUUUUGAUGUCUUGAACACAAAGGUUUUGUGGGCAUAUGUUUAGGAAUGUCCUGCUCAUGCUGUGAGACUGUUUCAGUUUCACAUGGCACUCACCCUAUCAGCUGUGCAGGCAUGUGACCGCCAUUGUAGUAUUGGGAAACUAUUGAAAAGUGUAAUUUUCUUCAAAUUUGAAAGAGGACAACGAAUUGCUUUGAUUAGAAGAUUGAUUAGAAGAAUGAGAUUAUCUAAUUUCCAUGUGAAUAUAUCAAGACUGUGUUUUGGAUCGAAGAAUGAGUUUGCAGAAAAGCUGCUGUAUGAAGUAAAUAAAUAUAAUGUGCCAAGUAUCUCUGAUCAUUUUAAGGUGCUUAAUAAGGUAAAUUAUGUGUAAAGAAUUAUAAUGGUUGCUUCACUUGUGCGCUUCAAGGUCCUCUUCCUGAAUGCUUCAAGAUUUUCUUCAUCAUUCUGGAUAUUCCUGGCAAUCUGCUUCCUUUAGGUGUCAGUGCUGAUGGAUCAUGAUGGUUUUCAUGAUUUAAUUGAGAAUGAAAAAGCUGAAGAGCAAUCUGGUUGGGAUCUCAAAGAUGCUGUCGAUGAUUUUGAUGUCUCCUUGGCACAUAAAAGAUUUCCUUCUAUUGUUUUUGGCUAUUCUCCUCCUGUAGAAUUAUAUGAUGUGACUCCACAUCACUCUGAAAUGAAGAUCCCUUUAUCAGCUGAAUGUUAUAAAGGAUUUUCCUCAAACACUCUGGGUGAGAAAUGGGCUGGCCCGAAUGGUCUUUCUGAGUAGUGGACUACUGCAGGAACCCUUCCAGUUAUGGAAACCGCUGUAUCAUUUCCCUCGAACCUCUGCUGAUUUGCAAACAGCACAAGUUGGAUUGAUGAUGGGCAGUACUUGAUUUCCGAUGGGAGAAUUAUCUUCCAGAAAGUUCUAGGUGAUUGGUCAUGAAUUGUGGCAAUUUCCAGUGCUGAAGCAUGAGCUUAGCAUACGGCAACCUCUUUGUCUUCUUGCAGAUCGAUAAACAAGUAUGAAAGAAUCACAAAACUAUGUUCAAGACAAUACUCAGUUGCGUAACAGAUGAAUCAUGCUUUUGCAUCCCACUCAAUUCUAUUUCAUGUAUUUUGCGCGUCAAUGUAAAUGUUAUAGUGACAGAUUCAAAGAUUCAAAUCUCCCCUUUCUCAGUUUCGACUACCAUUCACUUCACUUGAGUUGCAUUUAAAUUUGUAAUUUGGUUCUGAGAUAAAUAAGCUGUGUGACACAAGCACAGUUGUGUUGUAUUAUUCCAGAUAUUGCAAGAACUAGUCAUCAGGAAUGGUUACGCA